GCCUAGGUGGCUUAGUUGGUUAAGCAUCAGACUCUUGGUUUCAGCUCAGGUCAUGAUCUUAGGGUCCUGGGGUCAAACCCCAGGUUGGGCU
rnacentral:tRNA from 1 species